GACGAACGCUGGCGGCGUGCCUAACACAUGCCAGUCGAACGGUGAAGCGCCUUCCUUUUUGGUGGGUGUGGAUGAGUGGCGAACGGGUGAGUAACACGUGAGUAACCUGCCCCCUUCUUCUGGAUAACCGCAUGAAAGUGUGGCUAAUACGGGAUAUUCUGGGUCUGUCGCAUGAUGGGUCUGGGAAAGAUAUUGUUUCGGUGGGGGAUGGGCUCGCGGCCUAUCAGCUUGUUGGUGGGGUGAUGGCCUACCAAGGCGGUGACGGGUAGCCGGCCUGAGAGGGUGGACGGUCACACUGGGACUGAGACACGGCCCAGACUCCUACGGGAGGCAGCAGUGGGGAAUAUUGCACAAUGGGCGCAAGCCUGAUGCAGCGACGCCGCGUGAGGGAUGGAGGCCUGCGGGUUGUGAACCUCUUUCGCCAGUGAAGCAGGCCUGCCUCGUUUGUGGGUGGGUUGACGGUAGCUGGAUAAGAAGCGCCGGCUAACUACGUG
rnacentral:rRNA from 1 species